AUUGAACGCUGGCGGCAGGCCUAACACAUGCAAGUCGAGCGGAGCGGCGGACGGGUGAGUAAUGCCUCGGAAUCUGCCUGGUAGUGGGGGAUACCGUCCGGAAACGGGCGCUGAUACCGCAUACUAUCAGAUUAGCCUAGGUCGGAUUAGCAGGUUGGUGGGUUAAAGGCCUACCAAGGCGACGAUCCGUGACUGGUCUGAGAGGAUGAUCAGUCACACUGGAACUGAGACACGGUCCAGACUCCUACGGGAGGCAGCAGGGGGGAAGAUUGGACAAUGGGCGAAAGCCUGAUGCAGCCAUGCGGCGUGUGUGAAGAAGGUCUGCGGAUGGUAAAGCACUUUAAGUUGGGAGGCGUUACCUACAGAAUAAGCACCGGCUAACAUCGUGCCAGCAGCCGCGGUAAUAC
rnacentral:rRNA from 1 species